UGUCCUAGUUUCUUCUUCCACAACUUCUCCUAGCUAUUGCGGUCCUCUGGCUUGCUUCAUCCUCCCCAACUCUCAAUUUUUACGCUAAGUCAGUCUCUCUCCAUCAUCAUGCUUCUUUUGCUGAUAUCUACUUUCUGAUUUCCGGCAAAGUAUAAGGUAUUUGGUUCCAUGUUUUCCUGAGUUCUGGGUUGAACUGGUUUUUCGAUUUUUGAUCUAGGUUCUCUCGAUUUUAUUUCCACAAACUUAAUUUCAGCGGGGCUUCACAGAAACUGACGACUCACGGUAGCGGUGGGUUAAGCACGAGAUGACUCAUACUUUAAAGCCGGCCAGAGACUUGGUGGCAAAUUGGGUUGUUCAUCUCUCGGAAAACUACAACAAUACUUCCUCAUAUUUUGCCCAUUGAAAAUCUUCAUCAUAAUCACUGAAAAUGGAAGUAGAAAUUGAGGAUCGCCGAACGCAUAAACCAUAUGAUGAAGAAACUGAUACAAAACUUGCUGCUUCUGGUGAGAUGGAACUUAACAUUGCUCCAAUUCUCGACAAGAUUGAUAGCUUCACGCAUACUGGAAAACAAUGCUCAAGGAACUCAAUAACUAAUUUCUCAGAACACAUGAUCAUGAUACACAAGGAACAUGUUGAGAAAUGGCAGGAGGAGAUCAAGGACUCGCUAUCUGAUUUUGAUCUGGACAGAUAUUCUUCUUGGAAUCUGUCAUCACCUAUCAAGGCUAUUUGCAUUUCUCACUAAGUGGAAUUGCGAUUCCCAGUCUACAUGGGGGAAAUGUCGUGUUAUGAAGAACAACGUGAUAGUUACACAACCACAGCAACAGGCAAUGCCUUUGACGAGUAUUCACAAGAAAAUCAAGAGGAGCUACAAGCCCAUGCUGGAAACAGGACUGCUUCGAAUAUAACAACAGAAGAGCCAGCUGUGGUUGACCUCUGCACAAAAAAAAACAAAAAACGGAAUAAGCAGACAGUCAGGUAGUCUAGAAAAAAGGUUGGACCUGUAGCACCUUUUACGAAAGAGUCUCUUGCUGAAGCUAAGAAAAAAUUAGAGCCUUGAACAAGAAAGAUAGGGAAAGAAGAAUGGCUGAGAUAAAAACAAUCUUGAAUCUUAUAUUUAUGCUACAAAAGAGAAGCUAGAGACACCUGAGUUUGAAAAGAUAUCCACCCAACAAAAGCCAAAGGCGUUUGUUGAGAAGCUCGAUGAGGC